rnacentral:lncRNA from 1 species
UCAUUCUCUCUCUCUUGUCUUGUCUACCGCCAUGUAAGACGUGUCUUUCACCUUCUGCCAUGAUUGUGAGGCCUCCCCAGCCACAUGGAACUGAGUGUCAGCCGUGACCCUUAUGAUGGAUGAGAAGAGGUAUCAUGCCUUUUCCACCCCUACACCUGGAAGGAAGGUUCUGCAGCAAGUUCAUGAGAGACGAUAUGUGGAAUGUAAUCAGAGCAUACCUCUUAAUACUUAAAAGCCUUUGCAGGGAGAUCUCUCUUCCCAUCUCCUUCCUGGAAGACAGAAGCCUUGUGCGAGCCCCUUGUGUGAUGUCACCCCAGCUAGGGCCACCGGACGUUGGUCCUCAGCAGGGAGACUUUGGGUCCUCCACCAGGACCCAGGGCUGACCUGCAUGGCCAGGCCCCAUGGCCUGGGUAGAACCUUGUUUCUGCUCCAGUGGCACAAAUUGCUUUUGUAAUAACAGGAAAAAACGAUCAACGAACCUUCAUUUAAGAAAAAGCACAGCGUUCUCAUGGGAACCAAGAAGACAAGCCCUUAAUGCAAAGUGUAUUCAGAGAGAAGAAAACAAGAAAAGCA